AAUUAAAGAAUCAUCUAUUUUUAUUAUUAAAAAUUAGUGUGGUUGACGAAAUAAUCAAAUAGUGACAUAUGAUAUGCCGCCGGUACCUCAUGGUGAUGUACAAGACCAGUUUUUAAUCACAAAAAUGAAUGGAAUUUUUAACA
rfam:Gossypium arboreum cultivar AKA8401 contig_3433_1, whole genome shotgun sequence.